GAUGAACGCUGGCGGCGUGCCUAAUACAUGCAAGUCGAGCGAACAGAUAAGGAGCUUGCUCCUUUGACGUUAGCGGCGGACGGGUUAGUAACACGUGGGUAACCUACCUAUAAGACUGGGAUAACUUCGGGAAACCGGAUCUAAUACCGGAUAACAUUUGGAACCGCAUGGUUCUAAAGUAAAAUAUGGGUUUGCUAUCACUUAUAGAUGGACCCGCGCCGUAUUAGCUAGUUGGUAAGGUAACGGCUUACCAAGGCGACGCUACGUAACCGACCUGAGAGGGUGAGCGGCAAAACCGGAACGGAGACACGGCCCAGACUACUACGGCAGGCAGCAGUAGGGAAUCUUCAGCAGUGGGCGCAGGCGUGAAGGAGCAACACCGCGGGAGUGCUGAAGGGAUUGGGGUCGUAAAACUGAAUUAUUAGUGAAGAACAAAAGUGUAAAUCAGUGUGCACGUAAUGAAGGUACCUAAUGAGAGAGCCACGGCUAAAUUCGUG
rnacentral:rRNA from 1 species